ACAUUGCUGACUAAACAGUAUUUAUUCUAUUUGUUUUGGUGAUUACAGUUGUGAUAUUUUAUGUGGAGGGAGGGAACUAAGAGAAAUGCAGAGUAUCCAGCUGUUACUUUCUAUUUGUCUUUGAGAUUUGUAUUGGCAUCCAUUUUCCUAGGUUGACUCUCUACUCUCUGCUUGCUCCCCACCUACCUGACUUGUGCAAGUGCAGUGCUUGCUUGGAAAAGAAAAUGCACCUUAACCCCUGUACCUUCACCAAGCAAAUUGCCAGAACUUGGCUUUUGACACUUGUUGAAAAUGAGCAUCAGCAUUUUCCAGAGCGAAAACCAGAGCUGCUUUGAAGUUACUCACUUAACACAAAAGACCUGGAAGGCUUUCAUAUGCACAUUGGAAGUCAAGUGGGGCAUAAAUUGUAUUAAAAUUUCAAUUUAUUCUCUCAGGCCUUUUGAUGAUCUAUCACCAGGUCAUACUGUUGCUCGGUACUUUGUUCACUGAAGACCAGUUCAGUGUUUAAUCUCCAGGACAUACCUACUUAACAUUGGUUUCAUCCUGUAGCUGCUUGGAGGGAGAAUCAUUCCCAUAAGCCAGAGCUCUCUCACAUCCUGUGUUGAACUGAUUUGGGCAAGGAUAGAGACACAUGAUUUCAAGACAGCCAGCCACAGUAAAAAGAAAUCAAAUCAGGCAGCUUAAAUCAGCAGCCUUUUGAGAUUACAACCCUGUCCUGUCAACCUAGAGAAGAGAGGAAGCCCAUCAGCACACAGGAAAGAUUUCUGUCUUCAGAUUCUCCUCUCCACCCCUGGACAAUCUCUCUAGAAUUAAAUACUUCCUGGGAUUCACAGGAAAGAGCCAAUAAGGAUCAAAAUUAUGUGUCAUUUCCUUUAAAAGGAUGAAAAACAAACCAGCUAUGAAGAAAGCAGGUCGCAAGAAUCAAGAAAAACCGUUUUCCACAGAAUUCCAGAGCAGUAUCACCCCUUCUUCAGGGUCUUCAGAAGAUUGAAAAGCUUUCCUUGAGCAGAGCAUGUUGUGGGGAUGAAUGGAGGAGCACAGACAAACCACAUGUUCUUCUGUUGGACAGGUCAGACCUACCAGGUCUGAAGAUGCAAGAACCGAGGCAUAGCUUAGAGUAGCCCUAAAGCUUCUUUAAGUUGUGCUUGGGAAACAGUUGUCUCUACGUGGCUGCUGGGGUGGAAGGGAUCAUUCUAGUGUAUUUAAAGCAUGUUUAGUUCACACCAUCUCUUUUGUAAUUACAUGAGGCAUGCUAUUGUCACAUGCAAUCA